AGCAGCCGCGGUAAUUCCAGCUCCAAUAGCGUAUAUUAAAGUUGUUGCAGUUAAAAAGCUCGUAGUUGAAUUUCGGGGUUAGCAGGUCGGUCGUGCCAUUGGUAUGAACUGGUCUCGCUGAUCCCUCCCUCUUGACGAACUGUGAUGCCAUUAAUUUGGUGUCGCAGGGAAUCAGGACUGUUACUUUGAAAAAUUAGAGUGUUUAAAGCAGGCUCACGCUUGAAUACAUUAGCAUGGAAUAAUGAAAUAGGACGUUUGAUCCUAUUUUGUUGGCUUCUAGGAUUGACGUAAUGAUUAAUAGGGAUAGUUGGGGGCAUUAGUAUUCAAUUGUCAGAGGUGAAAUUCUUGGAUUUAUUGAAGACUAACUACUGCGAAAGCAUUUGCCAAGGAUGUUUUCAUUAAUCAAGAACGAAAGUUAGGGGAUCGAAGACGAUCAGAUACCGUCGUAGUCUUAACCAUAAACUAUGCCGACUAGGGAUCGGAUGAUGUUAAUUUUUAAUGACU
rnacentral:misc_RNA from 1 species